CUGCAGCCAAUUAAGCCGACCAGCGCCCCUCCCCGUGGGAACCUGGUGUGCAGUGGCUGCAGACAGCAGUCUCCUUGGUAGUAUACGUGGCCUGUCGCCUGUACGGGGUACCCUAAGGGACCUUGGAGGCAGCU
rnacentral:snoRNA from 1 species